UGAAUAGUGGACAAAUAAUCCGUUUUUUUAAACAAAUGGGAGCGGGGAGAGGAGGAGGGAGCAGUCCUUAAAAUUAGAGGACGCCAGACCCAAAUGACCCCACCGCGCCCUUCUGAAAGGUGGGGAUAAUUUUAUGUUAAGUAAUUUGCGUUUAUGCUUCACUGGCAAACCUAAAUAAAAAGCGGAUUCUCUGAAGUAACCUGAAACUAUUUUGAAAAGGAGAAGAGCAAACGGCGUCGAAAUCCUUGGAGAGCCCACGAUAUACCUUUCCACAAGGUUUGUUAAUAAAGGUAACAGAACAGUCGGAAGGUCUACACGUUCUCCCUUUUUUCCUUCUUUCUCCGCCGUAUACACCGACCCCACUUACUUCCCUUUCUCUCUAGGGGUCCCAAGGAAGUGAGCGGGAAAGGUUUAUUAUAAAGGAGUCUGGGCCACUUGCAAGAGAAGUUCAAGUUCCCAACGAAGAGAAAGAGGGUUACAUUCUCAAGACUUGGAGAAGCGGGUUUAGUUAGCCUUCCUCUUUUCUAUACACAAAGACACGUUUUGGUGAAAUUCGCAGCCUCUGACGUUUCUUUCCUGUGAGUACAAAUAGCCAGGCGCCAAGAGGUGCAAAAGGAUAUCACAGUCGGAGGAGCACAUCUUUCUAAAUUGGCAGCGGACCCUUGCCAGGCGUCUUUCCUAAGCCGGGCUGAGCCUGCAGCCCCCUUGCGCCCCCGCUUAACUUGGCCCCCUUUAUCUCGUCUUCACCGCUGCCACUCCCCGGGCCACCAACCCUUCCCGCAGGGAAGACGCCCAGGGAGUUGAGAAAGCAGGUCCUGCCAGGAGCCGGCCCUCGGCGGACCCCUCGCCCGCAGCCAAUGGGCUGGGCCCGGGUUCGAGAGGUGAAAGUUCAGGCCCGGGGCUCGCCGCUCGCUCCCCCUCUCAGGUCGCCUCCCUCCCAGCCCCCGCCCCUGGCCACGCUGCAGACACAGUCCGGCUACCAGGGGCUGCCACGGUGGCACGUAGUUUGUUGAUGGGUGGUCAUAAAAUAUAUUUAUUUGCAAUUCCUUUAACUCGCCCACCACCCCCGCCCCAGCAUGGCCCCGAACACUGCGGGCUUUGUUCGCCUCGCUGCUGCUGGAGCCGGCCGGGGUUUAGCGCUCUGUGCUAACAGACUCCAAAAAAAGUUGAACUGUAAUAAUAGGAAAACCGGGUUUCCGCAGCCGAGGAAAACGUUGAAAGGGCAAACAGUGAACGAAUAGUUUUCUUUAGCACAAGUCACUGGUCAGCCCACUAGAUCACGGCAGCCUUGAAACGAAACACUGCAUAUCAGAGAGAGGGGAAAAGCCAAAUUCUGUCCCUGUAGUCGCUGCGCAGGGUCGGAGCCUCAGCUCCAGUCUCCUUUGCUGCACGUGGGUCUGCAAAAGUCAUUUACAGUGGUUUCAGGGGAAGGUUAAACGGGGCUACUGGGUAAUUGAGGAGUUUCACCAAGUGCACCUCGAAGUUCUCUCACAAAAGUUUAUUUGAUAUCAAGUUUAUUUUACGAUGAAACUACAAAUCAACAAAUUCCAAGAUACUGCUCCAUCACCGUCCAGGCGAAAGAUAAAUUCGUUUGAAAUGGUCUCUGCCAGUGCAACUUGCGCGGAAUAAGCCACCCCAAACGAGACUUUCUAAAGCCAGGAUGAAGGAAAGCAAUGUAUGCGAAUGAGGCGUCUUACAACCGUCGGUUUCAUGCUUUUCUGAGUGAACCGCUUGGAUUUUUAGUUAUUUGUUAUAAGAUAUCAUUAUUCACACACUUACAUCUGUUUUCUCCAAAACUUUCAGUUAAACAACAAUUACAUUUUUCUUCUUCAGAGCCGUUUUAAUGGUGUAAUUGUGACUAAUGCUUCAAAUUUAGCUGAUCUGUUGGAGAGAUGCUAGGAGAGAGGGAAAGGGGCAGGGUUUUUUGUUUUUUUUUUUUUUUUUAAAUUUCCCGUUAGAGACACCAUCUUCAAAGUUGUAUUACUCACUUCAAAUAGGCUGUGAGAAAAGUCGUCUUUAAAUGCGAGGUAAAAUUUUUUUCUUUCACGCAGAAGAACGGGCACAUAUCAGGUUCCUAUUUUUCGCAUCCACUACGGUUUUCCGAAGAUCAGCAAAUAAACAGACUCCUUUUAGACAUUCUCCUAUCCCUGCUCUCCUCUUAGACACAUUUUAGGAAAAAGAGAAUAUUCGAGUUUCACCGAAGUCGAAUCAAGGGUUAUCUCUGUUAGAACGUCAAGUUGAAUGUUGAGGUUGCAGAAUUGAUGGAGUUACACCACCAUCUGUCGUUAAGCUUCGGGACUACAAAAUUUGGGACCUAUAAUAAAUCUUAAUGAGCUUUCCCAACUUUUUUUUAAUCACGGAUUAGACUUUUCGUUUGUAUUUUUCUAGUAUAUACCCUAAAUUUACCUGGAUCCUCACACAGCAACUAUGUGCUCAUAAACUCAUCCUUCUGUCUGGGUUCUCUAGUCAUCUCAUCUUCAGAAAAAAAUAAAUACCCUACAUCGGCAAGCCUGCCGUUUAUAAAGCCUUUUCAAAUCAGCUAUGGGACUGCAGAUUUCCAUUAUUUCUCCCUCCUUCCCUGGCUUCUAGAAGGCUGCUGACAGGAAAGAUGGAGCCUGGACUACAGGGGCCAUCCCUGUCCUGGAGUAAUUGCAACCUUGGAAAAUGAAAACCAUACCAGGAUUCGGAAUGUGUUUUGCAAUCUGGUCCCAGUCAAAAUUGUGAACAAGGUGAAGUUUUUCUUUGAGACUAGGUCACUUCCCUUUGGUGUCUGAUACAGUACUCUCAUUCUAUUCCAGGGUUUCCUACUUAUGGAACAGGCUCCCAAAUCCUACAGGGUCUAGAUCGCUAAUGGGUGAUGAUUUGCUAAUCCUGUGCAGUAAACUGUGCUGCUGUGUGUCGUUCCAACCAAUUGGAUAGGGUGCUGUGGACUAUGACUCCCUAACUCAGUGAGUGAAAAUUGCAGUCUCUUAGGAUAGUAGGAGACCACGCAGUGCCAGAAUCCCACCAGAGGUACCUCUUCAGUAACAAUUCCGCUGAUGGGAAGUCCACUACUUCAUCAGAUGGGGCAGUUUUAGAUGUCAGAAAGUUCUGUUUCGUAUUUAGCCAAAAUCAAGAGGUAUCAGGGUGUAGGAAAGUAAUCAGGAUGUUCAGGAAAGAACAUUAGCUUUGGAGAAGGUCUGAGCCCCAAUUCCAGCUUCACCAUUCACUGCCUGUGUGAAUCUGAGCAUGUUUUUUAACUUCGUGAACCUCAGUGAUCUGAUAAAAAGGAAUAAAUGAAAAAUCCCAAAAGAAUCAUGACAAUAUUAAAUAUUUGCAAAACGACAUAUAAUUCUGGGUACAUACAGAAGAUGCAAUAAAUACUAAUUUCAUCUUUUCUCCUAUUCUUCCUAGUCUAGUUCCUCCUAUAUGAAAUAUAAAAUUGUUCUGUUCCUUUUAUUUCAAAUGAAACUUUCCAAAUACCUAAACAUAAGUGUCAUGCUUCUCCUUUUACUAUUUUCUUUUGAGUCCAAAUAUCACCAUUUCUUUCAGCCAUUCCUUGUAUGGCGUGUUCUUCCAAUCCCUCGCUAUGCUGUUUCUUUCAGAGAAGCACAUUCUACUUUAUGAAUAUCUUCAGAGAAUUGUGGUGCCUGUAAUUGGGGAUGGCUCCCUAGAGAGAAACUGUUCCACUCACAGCAUCCAGAAGGAAAAGAUUCAGAAACCAAGUGGCCAUCCCUGAUGUACAGCUGAUUGGACAUGAGUGGGGACUGGGAAGAAAUCGAAAUAAUUUGCUUCUCUCUUCUAAUCAUUCAGGAUGCGACACUGAGAGGCAAUUCCGAAGUCCUAUGUGAAAAUCAUAGAGGAAACUUUUGCAAGAUUUAUCAUGGACACUGAAGAAGAUGAAGAAAAUAUUUUUUGGAAUAGUAGCAUAUUGAUUAAAUAUCAUGUAACUCUCUAAACAUGUGGAUAAUGGCAGAAAAUCAGCUUGACACAGAUAUCUGUGCUUUUGCAGUGCAGCGUACUCAUCAAGCUGACUGCUGAAUUAUUUCAUGAUAAGAUAAUUUUCCUUCAAGUCUAAUACCACAGAGGUCACGUGGUCUGGAGAUAUUCAUGAAGAAACUGUCACUUUCAGGCUCCUAAUAUCAGUCACUCUUCUAUCUAUAUUUGGUUUAUGGAAUCAGGAAAGUGUGAUAGUAGUUAUUAGCUGCUCUCAGAAAAUCCUCUUGCAAGAUAGAUUUAUUUCCUGAUUAAUGAUGGAAAUGAUCCAGUAUUAAUUUCAGUUUUUGAUAUCAACAAUUUUAUGUUAACAUCAUUCUUGCUAUGUUCACCUUUCAAAUUACUAUGAUCAUUCUAAUGAUUAAAAAGCUAUUAUUUGAUUUAGAUUCACUCUGUAAUUAUCAGCUGUAACAUUUUCUGACAUUUCUUACUAAAUUUGAGUACAUGAGGUUGUACUUCAACUAACAAAAGAUUUUCCUAUAGAAGCUUUUUAACAUGCACUCAGGUAAAUUUAAAGCAUAGAAGACCAGGGAAGUAGUAUUAGUCAUAAAUUCUAUCCCAUCUGAAUCUAAUUUUUGGUAGGUGCAGUGGAAUUUGUUUUAUUGCUUUUUUACACUUGAAAUUAGGAUAUCUUAUACAAUCAUUUGUUUGUAUUCAUAGUUUUCUCAAUAUUUAUUUUAUAACAA
ensembl:lncRNA